UAAGCUUUGAUUUAUUUCCCAUCCAAAACAAUAAAUGCAUUUCAAUGAAAUUCAAACACUAUUACACAAUAUUAUUUAGUUUUAUUCUCAUGCGAUAUUCAUUAUCAAGAUCAUUGCAAUUUGGAGUUUAUCUUUCCCUCAGCUUCUUGAGGGAAGACAGCACCUCAUUCAUGUUGGGUCGACAGUCAGGAUUUGGGUUGGUACAGAUCAAGGAAAGCUUUAAGAGGUCUGCCAAUGUUUCUUGCUCUUUGGAAGCAUUCUUGGCAAGCAUGGGGUCUAAAACUUGAAGAAGUCCAUUGAUGCCAUUGCCAAGGGCUUUCUCAAUUACUUGACUCAGACUGAUUGGCAGUCCAUCCUCUUCUGUCAUCUGGGUUGGCCUUCGUUUUGUUAGGAACUCCAUCACUAUAAUCCCAAAGCUGAACACAUCUACUUUUGUUGUUACCUUCCUCAUGUAUGCAAAUUCUGGCGCCAAGUAGCCGAUGGUGCCUUGGAAAGCCGAUGAUGAAGAGGAAAGGCAACUUCCAUCCUGAAGAUGAACGCCCAGUAUGCGAGCUGUUCCAAAGUCGCUAACAUGAGCAACCCAAUUACUGUCCAACAGAAUGUUAGAGGGUUUCAAGUCACAGUGAACAAUGGGGAAGUCAUAUCCAGAAUGCAAGUAAUCCAGCCCACUUGCAAUUGAAAUACAGACAUCGAUUCUCUCGGUUAAUGUCCACCUUGAUUGACCAACGCGAGGGUCAUGGAUGACGCUGUCCAAGCUCCCGUUGUGCAUGCAUUCAAGAACUAAAGCCUUUAGUUUAGUGCUCUCCCAGGCAUAACCAAGUACCUUCACCAAAUUCUUGUGUCUCAAAUGGCUCAAUGUUUUGACUUCUCUGUAGAAGCUCUUGUCAGAUUCUGCAGGGAACUGCUGCAAAUUCAGUUUCUUUACAACUACAAUCUGUCCAUCUUCCAAUUGACCCUUGUAAACGGUGCUCAAACUGCUGGCACCAAUUAGGUUAUCUUCACUGAAGAAACUAGUAGCAUUUUCUAAUUCCAUCGGCUCAAACCUUAUGAGUUUCAAUGCUGAAGUGAAUUCUGGUUCUGCAUUUUCAAUAAGUUCUGCUUUAGACUUUCUAGCACAUUGGAGCAGCAAUGAAAUCACUACCACCAAAAUGAGAAGUGUGAAAACCAGUCCAAGUGAAAUCAGAAUCCAUAAUGUUUUCUUGGACAAGGAAUGUGAACUCUUGCUGCAUGGCCGUAGAGACUUGGAUCCACAGAGGCCAGGGUUACCAAUCAAACUGGAAGCAUUUAUGUUUUUGAAUAUACCAGUCUCAGGAACUUGAUCUUCAAGUUGAUUAAAAGACAAAUUAAGCUGCUUCAAGGAGGAAAGAUUGGCAAAGCUAUCAGGUACUUUGCCCUUCAGCUGGUUCUGAGAAAGGUCUAGGGUUGUUAGAUGCUUCAGAUCUGCCAAACUUUCAGGGAUUUGACCAUCUAACUCAUUCCUCGAAAGGUUCAUGCUCAUAAGCACACUCAGCUGACUGAAAGGUGUAGCUGGAAUUAGACCAGAGAGUUUGUUCCCUGACAGAUCAAGAGAGAACAAGUUUCUGCAGCCUCCAAGUGUUUCAGGAAUGACUCCUGAAAGAUUGUUGUUCGAGAGAUCAAUGGCUUGUACGGCUUCCAACAUUCCUAGCUCAACUGGAAUGUUUCCCCGCAAUAAAUUGUAUGACAAGUUGAGAAAAAUCUGCAUACUUUUCAUGCUGGAAACCAUAGAUCCAGGAAUUGAUCCUGUCAGAUGGUUGUGAGAUAUAUCAAGAGACAUUAGUCGAUUAAGAGCCCCCAUACUUGUAGGAAUGGACCCAUUUAGCAUGUUGCUGUGCAGGUCCAAGUAUGAAAGCAUUUCAAGUUUUGAGACAGAAUCUGGAAUUGGACCUGUGAGCCUGUUGAGCCCCAGCAUGAGAACAGUUAAAUGUUUCAGUUCAGAAAUAUUCUUCGGUAUUGCACCUUCUAGAGCAUUGCUUUGGAAGGCAAGCCCUUGGAUGGAAGAAAGCUUGGAUAAUGUUGGUGGAAUGAGGCCUGAAAACCUAUUUCCAGAAAGUGAUAGAGUGAUCAGCUGACUCAAAUUGCCAAUUUCUGGUGGAAUUGGACCUGUGAACGAAUUGAACCCAGCUUUGAAAGUUCGGAGAUUAUAGAGCUUGCCAAUUCCUGGCUUAAGCAAUCCACUGAAAUUGUUCUCUCCCAAACUCAAGGAUUCAAGGUUGGAGCAAUUGUAAAGGUCAUCAGGUACUUCCCCAGACAUUUGAUUUGGUCCAAGAGAUAGCUUCGUUAAAUUAUGCAACUGACCCAAACCCCAGGGAAGUUUCCCAGUAAUUCUAUUAAAAGAUAAAUCUAUGUGCAUAAGUUGGGUGCAAUUGGAGAUACUAGAAGGAAUGGUUCCCUCAAGAAGGUUGUAAUUUAGGCUAAGGUUCCUCAAAUUGUAAAGCAUUCCUAUACUUGAUGGAAGUGCCCCUGUGAGGAAAUUCAUGCCCAUAGACAGG
rnacentral:misc_RNA from 1 species